CGUGCGUAGAAUUGGCCUGGCUAUUUUUUUUUUUCUCUCUCUCUUUUCCAGCCCCCUCCCCUUCAGCUCGCGGCUGCCGCGGCGUCUCCUCCGCGGGCUCCCUCUGCUGGCGGAGGCAAUUGCGGGUCGUCGCGUUCCAUGGCCGGCGGCGGGGGACCAUGACCGACUACGGGGAGGAACAGCGCAAUGAGUUGGAGGCCUUGGAGGCCAUCUAUCCGGACUCUUUCACAGUGUUAUCAGAAAACCCUACAAGUUUCACUAUCACUGUGACAUCUGAAGCAGGAGAAAAUGAUGAAACUGUUCAGACAACCCUCAAAUUCACCUAUUCAGAAAAAUAUCCAGAUGAAGUUCCAUUGUAUGAAUUGCUUGCACAUGAGAAUCUUGAGAAUAAUGACAUUGCAGACCUAUUAAAACUACUGCAGGAACAGGCAGAAGAGAAUCUAGGUAUGGUAAUGAUCUUCACGCUGGUGUCAGCUGUGCAAGAAAGACUGAAUGAAAUAGUGGAUCUAAUAAAAACAAGAAGAGAAGCAGAAAAGAAACAGAAGGAAAAAGAGGCAGAGGAGGCAGAAAAGCAAUGUUUUCAUGGCACCCCUGUCACUAUUGAAAACUUUCUACGCUGGAAGGCAACAUUUGAUUUGGAGCUUUUAGAAAUCAAAAGAAAAAAAAUGAAAGAAGAAGAACAGUGUGGCAAAAAUAAAUUAACAGGAAAGCAACUGUUUGAGACAGAUCAUAACCUUGAUACGUCUGAUAUUCAGUUUUUAGAAGAUGGUGGAAACAGUGUGGAAGUAGAUGAAUCGUUGUUCCAGGAAAUGGAUGAUUUGGAAUUGGAGGAUGAUGAGGACGAUCCGGAUUACAACCCUGUUCAUCUAGAUAGUGACUAGAUCUGAAAUCCCUCCACUAGCUACUUUGAUCGUAGGUUUGGUUGGAUACUUGUACCCAGAAAGAUGCACAUGUGAUUUGGAUAUCUUUUUCUUCAAAGAAGAGGGUGGAAGUAUUUUAAGACCAAGUGACUUCUUUUCUGGUGGCUUUCAGCCCAGAAAGGACUGGGGCAGCAAGAGGUGAAGUGUGCAUCAUGACAUCACAAUGCAAAUUGUGUGAUUUAGGUCCUCGGGUUCCAAAUGCAAAGAUGUGAUAACAAUGUUCACGUCAUCACUACAGAUUCAGCCUUUACAGGGUAAUUGCUCGUAGCAAUGGAAUUUUUCUGUGAGUCCAACCAUCUUCCAUUUGCCUGACCUUCUGUUUCUCCAUUAACUUCAUUCCCAAGAUACUUAUACCAAAAUUUUGAAACCAUGAAAUUAUCACAAUAGUAGCAUGUUCUGACAAUCUUUUUCUUAUUCUGCAUCCCUUCAUCUUAUUUUUUCACUUUCCAGUUUUAACAUUUACCUUUAACAUGGGUUUGGGGCUCCUUGGUUCUUGGAGAAAUCCCAUUAUUGGUCAUGAAUGGGGUUGCACUGCGUCAGACAUAUUCAGUGCAUAUUCUGGGCCUAAAGUCACCCCAAAGAGGUGACAAAGAAUGAAGGGUGUCUUGUUGAUCAUGGAGAGAUGGCGGUCUUUCCGUUUGACCUGAGGAAAGUUCUCCAAACUGACAACUGAAGAAACAAAGCACUAACUAACAAUCAUAAACAGCAUGUUUGGAACUGGAUGAGAAUAUUGAUCCUUUCUUUACUAUUUUACAACUGAAUUUCCUGGAAAAGGCUCCCAAGAAGCUAAAAACCUCCUAACAUGAGAAGGAAAGAGACUGUAGCCCCACCCUUCCAGAGGAAUGGAAGUGGUGUUUUCAUGUUUUUAUGGGGGACAGAAAUACAUAAUACUGAAGUGGAAACAAUAUAAAACUACAGCCUUGAUAAAUUUGAGAACUGAGAUAAUUAAGAUUUUUUAAUAUUGGGGUGAAAUAUAAGAAAUCAACGUUCUCUUUUGAGAGUGGAAAAUGGAUAUAGAAUGAAAUCUAGUGGUGGAUUAGAGUACAGCACUAGAACUGCAACGACUGAUGCUGGCCUGGUGAGAAGCUGAGAGACAGAAAAUAACCUAGCUUCUUGGCUGCUCGGUGACUCCUAGUUUAAUAGAGAACAGCUUUGGAUUGUUUUUAGGAUGGUUGAAUAUUUUGAACACUUUGAACAUUGUGGAUUGUAACUUGGCUUGAUUGACAAUUUUUGGAUACCAGAGCAAAAGGACUAUUAUAAAACAUUGCUUUUAGUGCUGGACUCAUAUCUUGGAACCUAUUGGAUUAUAAAGGCUAUAUAUAAAGACCAGAAAAACUAGAUGAAACUUUGUUCUAUUGCCAUUAAGAUUGGUGAUAUUAGAUAAGACUUGUAUUUGGAGAUCACAAAAGUUUUGACAGAAUAUCUGGAAGGGGGAAAACAAAAUGGAGGCCUUAUACCCAGCUAAAAAAGGCAUGAAAUAUACCCAACACCUCCAUUUGUAGCCCCCAGUCAAAUUUAUGAAGGAGCUGCAGGAGUGACACUUCAAGAAAAAAUAAAUACUUUUCAGAAGGAAAUAUAUUCUAUGCUACAAUUAAUUCACCAGAAAUUGUUUCGCAUAAAGAAGAAACAGAAAGAAAUUAUGAUGAGAAUAAAAACAAUUUCGUUAACAUAAAUGAGCAAAUCUCUAAUUUAAAUCUACAACUAGAAAGUUCCCAGACAACGACUAUAAAGUAUGAACAAGCAACCCAGAAAACAGAAGAUGAAUCAGAGGAAAUUGAUUUAAAGACAGAAGAUAUAAAAGAAGGGAAAUACAAACUGCCACAAACAAAUAAAACCUUGCAAUACUCAGCUAUAAUAAUGAAAAUGGAAAUGAUACUUUACCCCCUAGGUCUGCAAAAUACACUUGAGGACAAGAAAGAAGAUUUUUAAAAAUGGACUAUAGAGAUGUUAGGGGAAAUGUCAGAAAUUGGGAGACAAAAAAUGAAAAGCUGAGGGAGAAGAAAAGUGAGAGUUGCUUAAGGAUUAUAAAUGGGAGGAAUUCCUCCUCAAAAAUAUCUUACAUAAGUUGUCUUCCUCAUUCCAAGCAAUUCUCACAAAAACAGAGGAAAAAUUCUUUGGCCUUGGCAUGGAAAGCUACUUGGCAAAGGAAGAAAGCUAGAGUUAGACUUAAAAAAUACACUUGACCUACCAGAGGGGACAUUAUAUGAUCAAAUAUUUGUUUGAAUAUGAUUAAAAGAAUGGAUAACCCUUAGAUAUAAUUAGACUUUUAUAAUAAGAAAGAUAUGAUUUAUAAUUAGAAUAGCACUUUUUUUGAUAAGGGAAAUAUAAAAAUACGAGGAUGGAGUCUAUAAUUGAAACUCUUUGCUACAUAAAUGUAACUAAUCUUGAGAAAACCAUAAUUGACAAA